rnacentral:rRNA from 1 species
AUGGCGUUGGCGGGGGUGGGGGAUGCGGCGGCGGUGACACAGCUCAUCGGGCAGGCCAUCGGGCUCGUCGCCAUGAUCAUCCGGGCGGUGGACACGGUACGCCAGAACAGGCUGGAGUGUGAGCACCUCGCCUGCCGCGUGUCCACGGUCGACGGGGUGCUGUCUAACCUGCCGCGGGACCAGGAGAUGGCGCCGCCGCUCAAGGUGCUGAAAAACACGCUGGAGGAGGCGCACCGCAUGGUCAUCGCCUGCCAGAACCGGGGCGCCGCCAGCCACUUCUUCGGAUCCCGCCGCCACGCCGAUUGCUUCAAUCAAGUCAACAACAGGAUUAUCUCCGACAUCGUCAUCCUCAACCUCAGCCUAAACAGCUACAUGGCUCGGCGACACUCCAACCAAGUCCUUCAACCCAGUCACAUCGGCGUACCGACUGCCACAAUAGCCAUGGCGCCGUGGCCAGGCUCCAGCUCUGCCCCCCUGCAGACGCUGAUGGUGGUGUCGCAGCAGUCGCAGGUAAGCUCGAUCUCCAGCGAUAACCCCAGGGCGCUCACGUGGGCGGAGAUUGCAGCCGCGACCAGCUUUUCCGUCGAGCUCGGCAGAGGCAGCUCGGGGAGGGUAUACAAGGGCCGUCUCCAGUUCCAGUUCCACUUCCACCACGGCACGGAGGUGGCCGUUAAGGUGCUGGAAAAGCACAGGCGGCAGGGCGUGGAGGACGCGUUCAUGGCGGAGAGCAACAUCCUUUCCGGCCUCCGGCACGACCACAUCGUCCGCCUCGUCGGCUGGUGCGCGGAGCAGGAUUACCGCAUGCUGGUCUACGAGCAUAUGGGAAAAGGCACGCUUAGAGACCACCUUCAGCAUUUCGGCGGUGGCCCUAGCUCGUCGCCGGUGACGACGUCCUGGGAGACGCGCGUGGAGGUGCUGCUGGGCGUGGCGCGGGCCAUCCACUACCUGCACUGCGGCGCGGAUCCGCUGGUCAUCCAUCGCAACGUCAGCUCGUCCAACAUCCUCCUGGACGGCGCCAACUGGACGCCGCGCCUGUCCGGCUUCGGCUCAGCGGUGUUUCAAGCGGCGGGUGUGGAGGAGCACGGCGGCCAGCUCGUCGAGGAGGUCGUCGGCACGCCGGGUUACAUAGAACCGGAGUACAGCGGCACGCACCGCGUGAGCGCGGCGAGCGAUGUGUACAGCUUCGGGGUGGUGGUGCUGGAGGCGCUGACGGGGAGGCCACCGGACAUCUACGGCGUCACGCUCGGCCUCCUCGUCGACUCCGUGCUCCCGAGCGUACAGGAGGGAAAGCUGCGGGAGGUGCUGGAUGGCCACUCGGCGCUGCAGCCGACGCCGCGUCAGAUGGAGGCGCUGGAUCUCGUGGCAUACACGGCGAGCCGCUGCCUGUGCCCGCGCGGGCACAACCGGCUGGCCAUGUCUGAUGUCGUGGCCAACCUCCACAGGGCGCUCCAGACCAUACGCAGCAAUUAA